rnacentral:rRNA from 1 species
UACGGAGGGUGCAAGCGUUGUCCGGAAUCACUGGGCGUAAAGGGCGCGUAGGCGGCUCGGUAAGUCGGGGGUGAAAUCCUGCGGCUUAACCGCAGGGCUGCCUUCUAAACUGUCGAGCUCGAGCACGGUAGAGGCAGAUGGAAUUCCCGGUGUAGCGGUGGAAUGCGUAGAGAUCGGGAAGAACAUCAGUGGCGAAGGCGGUCUGCUGGGCCGUUGCUGACGCUGAGGCGCGACAGCGUGGGGAGCAAACAGG